rnacentral:rRNA from 1 species
UACGUAGGGUGCAAGCGUUGUCCGGAAUUAUUGGGCGUAAAGAGCUCGUAGGCGGUUUGUCGCGUCGACUGUGAAAACCCGAGGCUUAACCUCGGGCCUGCAGUCGAUACGGGCAGGCUCGAGUUCGGUAGGGGAGACUGGAAUUCCUGGUGUAGCGGUGAAAUGCGCAGAUAUCAGGAGGAACACCGAUGGCGAAGGCAGGUCUCUGGGCCGAUACUGACGCUGAGGAGCGAAAGCGUGGGGAGCGAACAGG